UACGGAAGCAGCAGUGGGGAAUAUUGCACAAUGGGCGCAAGCCUGAUGCAGCCAUGCCGCGUGUAUGAAGAAGGCCUUCGGGUUGUAAAGUACUUUCAGUCGUGAGGAAGGUGUUAAGGUUAAUAACCUUAGCAAUUGACGUUAGCGACAGAAGAAGCACCGGCUAACUCCGUGCCAGCAGCCGCGGUAAUACGGAGGGUGCGAGCGUUAAUCGGAAUUACUGGGCGUAAAGGGCACGCAGGCGGUUAAUUAAGUUGGAUGUGAAAUCCCCGGGCUUAACCUGGGAAUGGCAUUCAAGACUGGUUAGCUAGAGUCUUGUAGAGGGGGUAGAAUUCCAUGUGUAGCGGUGAAAUGCGUAGAGAUGUGGAGGAAUACCGGUGGCGAAGGCGGCCCCUGGGACAAAGACUGACGCUCAUGUGCGAAAGCGUGGGGAGCAAACAGGAUUAGAUACC
rnacentral:rRNA from 1 species